rnacentral:rRNA from 1 species
GACGAACGCUGGCGGCGUGCCUAAUACAUGCAAGUUGAGCGCUGAAGGUUGGUACUUGUACCAACUGGAUGAGCAGCGAACGGGUGAGUAACGCGUGGGGAAUCUGCCUUUGAGCGGGGGACAACAUUUGGAAACGAAUGCUAAUACCGCAUAAAAACUUUAAACACAAGUUUUAAGUUUGAAAGAUGCAAUUGCAUCACUCAAAGAUGAUCCCGCGUUGUAUUAGCUAGUUGGUGAGGUAAAGGCUCACCAAGGCGAUGAUACAUAGCCGACCUGAGAGGGUGGUCGGCCACAUUGGGACUGGGACACGGCCCAAACUCCUACGGGAGGCAGCAGUAGGGAAUCUUCGGCAAUGGACGAAAGUCUGACCGAGCAACGCCGCGUGAGUGAAGAAGGUUUUCGGAUCGUAAAACUCUGUUGGUAGAGAAGAACGUUGGUGGGAGUGGAAAGCUCAUCAAGUGACGGUAACUACCCAGAAAGGGACGGCUAACUACGUG